UACGAAGGGGGCUAGCGUUGUUCGGAUUUACUGGGCGUAAAGCGCACGUAGGCGGAUCGUUAAGUCGGGGGUGAAAUCCUGGAGCUCAACUCCAGAACUGCCUUCGAUACUGGCGAUCUUGAGUCCGGAAGAGGUGAGUGGAACUCCUAGUGUAGAGGUGGAAUUCGUAGAUAUUCGGAAGAACACCAGUGGCGAAGGCGGCUUACUGGUCCGGUACUGACGCUGAGGUGCGAAAGGCGUGGGGAGCAAACAGG
rnacentral:rRNA from 1 species